rnacentral:misc_RNA from 1 species
GAAACUUAUUGCUAGUAUUUCUGCUACAAAUUGGACUCAAAACUUGCUUUCAUACUCGGUCACUGAUGAAGGAGCAGUGGCUUCGACAGAGUCUAGUCCACCUCAAGUCUAUGAUGAAUUCACAAUUUCUGGCAGAAAAACUAAUAGAGAACCAACUUAUGUCACCCUUCAGAAUGGAAGCUUUGCUUUGUUCGCCAAUUCUUCUCCGCCAAGUGCGCCAGAUCGCUCCCAAUCCAUUCCCGAC